rnacentral:tRNA from 1 species
GGUGCGGUGGCGGAGUGGCUACGCAGCGGAUUGCAAAUCCGUGUACACCGGUUCGAUUCCGGUCCGCACCUCCA